CAGUCGCCGCGGGAAAACGGAGGGUGCAAGCGUUAAUCGGAAUUACUGGGCGUAAAGCGUGCGUAGGCGGUUUGUUAAGUCUGUUGUGAAAGCCCCGGGCUCAACCUGGGAAUGGCAAUGGAUACUGGCGAGCUAGAGUGUGUCAGAGGAUGGUGGAAUUCCCGGUGUAGCGGUGAAAUGCGUAGAGAUCGGGAGGAACAUCAGUGGCGAAGGCGGCCAUCUGGGACAACACUGACGCUGAGGCACGAAAGCGUGGGGAGCAAACAGGAUUAGAUACCCCAGUAGUCCCUGUCUCUUAUAC
rnacentral:rRNA from 1 species